UGGGUGAAGGCGGGGUUCACCUGGACAGGUAGUCUCACAGACUAGCAGAGCCGGAGUCUCUGGUGAGAACCGCGGCAUUCUUGCUGUGAGGCAGGAGUGCUAACCACUGUACCACCGUGCCGCCUCUUUAUCGACUUCAUCAGCCUAAACCUUUUCAGGUUUCUCCUCCGCUUUCCCUCCUUCAAACUGACCCUGCCCGGACCCCGUAGACCGGGACUCACCGGGGGUGUUGGUGGAGAACCGCGCCCGGCGGGGGGCGGCCUCCUCCGGCGGCAGCUGGAAGGCGGCGGCGCAGAGGGUGAGGAGGAGCAGCGGACAGGAGGCGCGCAGCAUCUUCCCGCGGAGGAGGAGCAGGAGCAGGUGGAGGUGCAGGUGGAGGUGGAGCAGGAGGUGCAGCAGGAGGUGAUGCUGGAGCAGGAGGUGCAGCAGGAGGUGAUGAGGACGGAGGAGGUCCGCUGAUUCUGGAGUCUCCUCUCCCGACGCUCCUUUUUAUCCGGCUCCCGCCGCGCACGGACCAAUCAGCGCGCGGGACGUUUCCACACCGGCGGGAAUUUCCGAGACUUUUUCAUGUUUUCCCACAGAAAUAAAAGCUUGAACUGAAGUUCCGGUUCUGGACGGAUCCAGAUCCUCCAUCAGAAUAAAAGUCUGUUCGGAGACUUUGGUUCAACAAACGGGACGAAAAGUCCCGAAAUGAUUAAAUAUUUACCCGCUGGUGUCACACCUGGACCCCACGUGACGUCA